CGACUAUUCAACUAUUAAUUAUAUCCGUGAGUUCACUUCAUCACAGGAGAUUGGGGACGUAGGAAAUGAGAGCAUUAAAUCUUUAUCCACUAGAUUUGAAGACAUUUGGAAUACAUUGGCAUCCAAGGUAGUUGAACAAGAUGAUAAGAUGAAUGAAGGCGAGCCAGGAAUAAUGGAAGGCCAAGGAAUCCAAGUACAAGAAGGGUUGAACCUUUUGCAUAAACAAGAGGGAAUAUAUGUUGUUCCUAACAACAACAUUGACAUUUCUUCAGCUUCUGCAGAUAUCCGUACAAGAUUGGAAGCAUAUAAACAUUUUGUUGAUCUGGAUGAUGCACAGCUUUCUCUUCUGGUGGAGGCAAUAACAACAUAUCCUCAUCUCUGGAAUGCUUCCAAGAAGUUUAGUGAGCGCUUUCAAGCUUGGAGGUUGAAAAUUUUGGCAGAUAUGUUGCUGUUCCUUCAGAAGGAAAGUGACGAUAGUGUUAUUCCUCAAAGAGAAAAAGUGUUCGAUAAACUAUGUGAA
rnacentral:sRNA from 1 species